ensembl:lncRNA
CAAAUUAGGGGCAAAAAUCUCAUUGUACUUAGCAACAAGCCAGAAACAAAGUUAUUUAGAUAAGGGGGAUGUAGAAGUGGAAGAGGAAGAUGGAGCGUACCAUGACCAGGAGGAGAUUUUGCUUGUUUACCUUUAGUAGAAGCCAAAGGUUCAGUUUCUCGAUUGGAAAGGAUUUCUUGAUUAUUUGAGAGACAGCAUGAGGAAAUCAGCAUACCCAGAUAUAAAAACCUUGCUGAGAGAAUCUCUAAUCUUGACACACCUCCAUAAACCACCCCACCUUCAUCUUUAAAAGAAGAGUCUGUUCUACAGAAUAUUGUAUGAAAAGAAAUAGGAGUAAAUUUUAUGCAGGAAAAAAGGUAAAUGGCUGAGAUAACAAAAGAGGCUGAGGAAGAGUCUUUAGAAGGAAGAUUUAGGCUGAAACCCAAAAGACUGGAAUGAGUGAAGGGUGUCGGGAGAGCAGCUGAGGCAGAGAAGAGUGAGGGCUGCAUUUCUGAGGUGAGGAGACACUUGGUAUAACCAGAAGCUGAAGAACAGCAGACGGUGGCCCAGUGAGUUAAGGGAGGGCGGAGAAGAUGGGGAUGAGAUGCAGGAAGGGCCAGUUAGAUGGCAGAGGACUCUACAGGCCAGGGGGAGAAGUGUUAAUGGUAUUUACUGCACCCUGAAGCCAAAGAAUGGUCACAAGGAGGCCAGGGGUUGGGGUGGGAUCACAGGAUGACUCAGCAUUUUAAUGCAGUUCUCUCUGUCUCUGCAUCAGGAGAGGACUCCAGUAGGGAGACCAUCAGCAGGUCACUAGGACGUCAGGAGCAGUCGUGCAGCUUUGGCGAGCAGGUGGAAUACACUAGGGACCCUGAGUUUUCGCUGGAUCGGUGACAACAUGAUUUGACUAACUGGAUAAUCAAGUUAUUAUUCAAGGUAUUACCUCUUUAUACUUCAAUUUUCUCAUCUAUAGAAGUGGUGGACUAGAUAAUACGUAACAUACACUAACUACUUUCUAUAGUAAAUUGUGUUCUUGUGAACAGCAAGCUAAAGAUAAGAAUUUACAUCUCAUGCAUCUUUGUACCCUAUAAUAGCUAUUAUAGCCAUG